rnacentral:rRNA from 1 species
UACGUAGGGGGCAAGCGUUGUCCGGAUUUAUUGGGCGUAAAGAGCGUGUAGGCGGUUAGGUAGGUCCGUUGUGAAAACUCGAGGCUCAACCUCGAGACGCCGAUGGAAACCAUCUGACUAGAGUCCGGAAGAGGAGAGUGGAAUUCCUGGUGUAGCAGUGAAAUGCGCAGAUAUCAGGAAGAACACCCGUGGCUAAGGCGGCUCUCUAGUACGUGACUGGACGCUGAGACGCGAAGCGUGGGAGCGAA